AUGUGGAAUUUUGUUCCCGUAAUUAGCCUAUGAUUUUGGGCCCAUUGAUCAAAUCAUGGAAAACUUCUAUCGUUUAAUUUCCCCAGUUCUCCAAUUAUCUGCCUAUGAAAUGUUUUCUGUCGUUUAUUGGUGAUCAAGGCCUUAAUGCAAGCGAUUAGACCUAAUUCUGGUGUCAAUUCGGUGACCUUCUGAUAGUUUCUCUUUUCGAGAUUGACAGUAAAAUUUGGUACAUAAAGGAAGCCUCAAAAUUAGCAUUCUUGAUCUCUUGAAUCAAACCAAUACCACUAGAACUCAUUUAGCAUUUGUCACCCAAAUACGCCCCCCAAAUUCUAAACCAAUUUGUGUAAAUAUCCAAUAUCCAUAUUGAAAUUAGGGGCGGAAUUGUUUAUAGCAGUACCGGGUCGAAUUCACAAUCUUUACACUUGUUAAAUCAUUUGAUAGGCUCAUGAUAUUGAUGAUCUCGUUUCCAUUUUGAUGCUCACCUUAUACACUACGAAUAUCCUCAGCUCUAUAACUCCCUCACCAUGUGUAACUAUCCAUCUAUAAAUCCCUGUGGAAUUGUUUAUAGAAGUCUGGGUCAGUUUCUCAAUCUUCACACUGUCAAAAAUUCUCUUAUAGUCGCACGAUAUUGAUGAUCUAGUUUCCGUGUUAAUGUGUGCCACGUAUAAAUGUCAGUCAAGAACUAUGAAUAUCCACAGCUCUAGAACUGUUUUCAGGAAUGUGAAAAAGAAAGAGAUGCGUGGGCGGCCCAUUGUGUACU
rnacentral:lncRNA from 1 species